AUAUACGACCGUACCGCAAACCGACACUGGUGCGCGAGAUGAGUAUUCUAAGGCGCUUGAGAGAACUCAGGAGAAGGAACUCGGCAAAUUGACACCGUAACUUCGGAAGAAGGUGUGCCCUAUUAGUGUGUAGUGAACAACGAAGCAUGAAUGGGUUGCAAAAAAUCGGUGGCUGCGACUGUUUAUUAAAAACACAGCACUCUGCAAACACGAAAGUGGACGUAUAGGGUGUGACGCCUGCCCGGUGCUGGAAGAUUAAAUGAUGGGGUGCAAGCUCUUGAUUGAAGUCCCAGUAAACGGCGGCCGUAACAAUAACGGUCCUAAGGUAGCGAAAUUCCUUGUCGGGUAAGUUCCGACCUGCACGAAUGGCGUAACGAUGGCCACACUGUCUCCUCCUGAGACUCAGCGAAGUUGAAAUGUUUGUGAUGAUGCAAUCUCCCCGCGGAAAGACGGAAAGACCCCAUGAACCUUUACUGUAGCUUUGUAUUGGACUUUGAACAGAUCUGUGUAGGAUAGGUGGGAGGCUUUGAAGCAGGGUCGCUAGAUCUUGUGGAGCCAACGUUGAAAUACCACCCUGGUGUGUUUGAGGUUCUAACCUAGGUCCAUUAUCUGGAUCGGGGACAGUGCAUGGUAGGCAGUUUGACUGGGGCGGUCUCCUCCCAAAGCGUAACGGAGGAGUUCGAAGGUACGCUAGUUACGGUCGGACAUCGUGACGAUAGUGCAAUGGCAUAAGCGUGCUUAACUGCGAGACUGACAAGUCGAGCAGAUGCGAAAGCAGGACAUAGUGAUCCGGUGGUUCUGUAUGGAAGGGCCAUCGCUCAACGGAUAAAAGGUACUCUGGGGAUAACAGGCUGAUACCGCCCAAGAGUUCAUAUCGACGGCGGUGUUUGGCACCUCGAUGUCGGCUCAUCUCAUCCUGGGGCUGUAGCCGGUCCCAAGGGUAUGGCUGUUCGCCAUUUAAAGAGGUACGUGAGCUGGGUUUAAAACGUCGUGAGACAGUUUGGUCCCUAUCUUCCGUGGGCGCUGCAGAUUUGAGGAAGCCUGCUCCUAGUACGAGAGGACCGGAGUGGACACACCUCUGGUGUAUCGGUUGUCACGCCAGUGGCAUUGCCGAGUAGCUAAGUGUGGAAGAGAUAACCGCUGAAAGCAUCUAAGCGGGAAACUCGUUUCAAGAUGAGAUCUGCCGGGGCCUUGAGCCCCCUAAAGAGUCGUUCAAGACCAGGACGUUGAUAGGUCAGGUGUGGAACCAAA
rnacentral:rRNA from 1 species